rnacentral:rRNA from 1 species
CUUUCCCUCUUUCUUCAGGCCUAACACAUGCAAGUCGAACGGUAACAGGAAGACGCUUGCUUCUUUGCUGACGAGUGGCGGACGGGUGAGUCAUGUCUGGGAAACUGCCUGAUGGAGGGGGAUAACUACUGGAAACGGUAGCUAAUACCGCAUAACGUCGCAAGACCAAAGAGGGGGACCUUCGGGCCUCUUGCCAUCGGAUGUGCCCAGAUGGGAUUAGCUAGUAGGUGGGGUAACGGCUCACCUAGGCGACGAUCCCUAGCUGGUCUGAGAGGAUGACCAGCCACACUGGAACUGAGACACGGUCCAGACUCCUACGGGAGGCAGCAGUGGGGAAUAUUGCACAAUGGGCGCAAGCCUGAUGCAGCCAUGCCGCGUGUAUGAAGAAGGCCUUCGGGUUGUAAAGUACUUUCAGCGGGGAGGAAGGGAGUAAAGUUAAUACCUUUGCUCAUUGACGUUACCCGCAGAAGAAGCACCGGCUAACUCCGUG